GUCGUCGUGGUCGAAGUGGUUAAGGCGACAGACUAGAAAUCUGUUGGGCUCUGCCCGCACAGUUUCGAAUUCUGUCGGCGACG
rnacentral:tRNA from 1 species